GGCUAGUCCAAAGGUAGUGAGUUAUAUCAGUUUAUUGUUCACAGUUACAGACUGAACUCCUUGUUCUACCACUUUCUCCCCUCCUCACUACUAUUUGACUAGUCUUAA
rnacentral:Y_RNA from 1 species